GAAACUGUGAUUGGAGUUUGUUACCAUAGGGGCUUUUUAAGGGAGAAGGAGAAAGGCAUGUGCAUGAUAUCGAGGAGACGAGGAGGACAUAAGGUUGGUCCAGUUUGAAGAAACAGAGACGAGUUGAGAUGUAUGAGGAUAGCGAUAAUGCGAGCAAGGACGAGUUUGAGGCUCUGCUCUCGGAGGACAAGCUCCCACCGCCACCAAUAUUGUGUUUCACUACAUUUUAUCAUGGAUUGAAACGGAUCCAUGAGUACCAUAUAUAGGAGACAUCCAGCUGCAUGCACUAGUUGUUGAUGUCAAUGAGGAACAUGAAGCACUGCUCAAACAGGAGCCUCAAGUGGGGAGAUGAAUGAUUCAUUUGCCUUCAGUGAGAUUGGAACUUAUCACUUGCCUUCAGACGAUUGAUAGCAACAACUAUCCUGAGGUACUAUACGAACAUCUUUUGGUCUAUAUUAUUUUUGUGGAUAACACAACUGUGAGUUUUCUUGUUUUCAUUGCAGACUUUGAAUCGUAUGUUUAUCACCAAUGCUGGUUCUGGUUUUAGAAUGUUGUGGAGCACUGUGAAGUCCUUCCUUGAUCCCAAGACCACUGAAAAGAUUAAUGUCAGUAUACCUUUUUGAGCUAAAAGUUCUAGUUUCCUGAAGAGAGGUUUGCAUCAAAUGCUCCUGUCUUCCGAGUGUCUUUGUCCAAUUCCUGAUUUGAAUUUGUUAUAGAUACUUUCUCUAUCCCCAGAUUUGAUUAUUGCAAAUGGGAAGGUAAAUACUUGUGAUUUGGUUCAAUGGAGAAGACCUGUUGCUUGUUUCUCUCCUCACCAUUGUAUUAUGCACAGAAAUGCAGAGAGUGCAAACCAUUUGUUUUUACAUCAUCUGAUUGCUUCAGCUGUCUGGAAAAGGGUGUUUAAAGUUUGUAAUGUGGCCUGGGUUAAUCCAGCUAAUCAUUUAACUUAGCUGGGUGAAAGGUGCGGUUUGUUUGGAGGAAGAAAGAAGGGUUUGGUUCUGGGUAGAUGUGCUACUAUGGCGGUAAUUUAGGUUCCAGUUAAUAUUUCACAAGGAAUUUUUUGUGGAAGGCUGGUGGAAGGAAGAAGAGUUAGUUGGUAAGAUGGGAAUUGGUUUCAUGAGUGAAGGAAAAUGGGGAAUUUGGUGUCCGAAAUUGGUCAAGGAGAAUUGAAGCUUUUACUUGACAAUGUGGGAGGAUUCAUCAGGAAAGUGAGGCGCUUUCUGGUGCUGUCGUGAUAAGUGAAUAUGAGUUGCAUGUCGAUAUGUACCUCCCAAGGUAUUUCUUCUUUUGUUUAUUAUCGGUUGGAGGGGGAAAUGGAGUGAGUGAGAAUUAAAGAGCUUUUUGUAGUCUUUCCCUGUUUAUGCAGACAUGAUAUCUCUACUGCAAGGUUGUGUGCAUAUCCUUUUUCUCUCUUCAGUUGGAACUUUGGGUUUCGUAGAAACUAAAUGAUCAGGAGGUGGGGGAGUUCGCAGAGUAUUGGCUGCUUUGCAAAAGUUUAAAUUGGUUCCUAAUAGGCAGGAUGGAAGAUUUUUGAGGGAGUCUUCGGGAGCUUUCUCUGUUUCUCAUAAACAUCUUAUUCAAAGUUAAUGGUGUUUGAGGACAAGUAUGAAAUGAUAAACAGAGAGAGAGAGUAAAAUUUCAGAGAGAAUAGAGAUUCAAGUGUGUUAUUCAUCUCAUACCAAGAGGUAUUUAUAGGAGUAUAUUACAAGUGUGAAAGCUCAAAGAGUAACUCAAUUUGAUAACCUCUACAUUUACAGCUGCAGCUCCACAUGGUGGCUGUGAUGAUGAUAAAUUGCCAUGCUUGUUGCCCUUUGGCAUAAAGCUUGUCACACAAGUCACAAUACCUACAUUAUACACUCAAGUACCUAUUGUAUACAUGAUAUAGACAUUUAUACUA